rnacentral:rRNA from 1 species
UACGGGAGGCAGCAGUGAGGAAUAUUGGUCAAUGGGCGGGAGCCUGAACCAGCCAAGUAGCGUGCAGGAUGACGGCCCUAUGGGUUGUAAACUGCUUUUAUCAGGGGAUAAAGUGAGGGACGUGUCCCUUUUUGUAGGUACCUGAUGAAUAAGGACCGGCUAAU